rnacentral:rRNA from 1 species
UACGUAGGGUGCGAGCGUUAAUCGGAAUUACUGGGCGUAAAGACGUGCGCAGGCGGUUUUGUAAGCCAGAUGUGAAAUCCCCGGGCUUAACCUGGGAAUGGCAUUUGGGACUGCAAGGCUGGAGUGCGGCAGAGGAGACUGGAAUUCCUGGUGUAGCAGUGAAAUGCGUAGAUAUCAGGAGGAAUACCGAUGGCGAAGGCAGGUCUCUGGGCUGACACUGACGCUCAUGCACAGAA